GGUCUAUUUGGCGACAUGUGCGAUUUUAUGAAGCCUACAGUUUCAGCUAGUGUGAGCGAAAGAGAUACAAACAUUAUCAAAGAGCGUUGAUCAAAAAACUCGACUUUAUCUAGCAGGGAUAUUCACAGAGUCUUAAAGACGAUGGUGCCACUUUCGGACUGUCUACAACGAAGUGGGCAAUUGAGGCAUCCAGUUUCACCCAUUCGAAACCCCGUUAUGGACAAAUGGUUCGACACGCUAACAAAGUAAAAAGGAUGGAAUUUUGUGAGCAACUUAUUGCAUCCAAUGACAAGUUUGAAAACGUAAUAUUUUCCGAUGAAUGCUCAGUUCAGCUGAACCAAAACAAGAUGUGCAGCUACAGAAAGAUAGAUUCCCAUGCUACAGUAUUACCCAAACCGAAGCACCCACUAAAGAUCCACAUAUGGGCCGCAGUUAGCAAGAAAGGGGCAUCAGAAAUCCGGCUUUUUGAGGGAAUCAUGGAUUCUGAAUUUUAAACAGACUGUAUCUUAAGGGAUACCUUGAUGCCAUUUAUACAGAAGAAUUUCGUUGGAACUGAACAUCGAUUUCAACAAGACAACGACCCUAAACACACCUCUAGACAUGCCAAGGCUUUCAUGGCGGAUAACGGGAUUAACUGGUGGAAUGGAUGGCCUGCCGAAAGUCCGGACCUUAACCCAAUAGAAAUGGCUUGAAAUGAACUCAAGAGGUGUGUCACCCGGGAAACCCCACAUACAAAACAAGAACUUCAGGACUGCAUCCUGCGAUUUUGGAGAACCCAGAUGACAAUAGACAAGUGUUGUGCGUACAUAGAUCAUGUGUUUAAAGUUAUACCAACGUGUGUAAUUAUGAAGGGAAAUGCGACUGGUGAUGUACCCAAGAAACUGUUCACGGACAGAUCAAAAGGAAAAAGUAUCGCCUUCUUCCAAGAUAAGUUAACAUCAGACCUGGAAGUUAAUUCGAAGUACGUUGCUUUGAUGCAACAAUGGAUGUAACAUUCGUAUGCAAUAUGAAUUGUUUUGUGUACUUAUUUGAUUAAAUGUAAUAAAAUGGAGAGAGAGAAAACACGGCUCGUAUUUUUAUAGUUAAGCAUAAAAAAUUACAGAUAAUGGCGUGAGAAAAUUUCUAGACUUUUUACCACAAGUUCAUUUCUUAAAUAUACAUGAGGAUAUGAACUGCGAUGCUUUACGCCAGCAUACUGCUAGCACUUCAUGGAAACUAUGACGGCAUGAAGUGUUGCUGUUUACACCCUCCUGUAUGUUUAAAAACGAAUCUUUCUUAUCUACUUUCAUUUCUGUCGGAUCUUUCCAGCUGUUAAAAUAGUUGUACUGCAUGUAUAUUAAAUUCAUACACAUUUCAUUUACAUUCCUGUGGAAAUAGAUAUCAUUUCAAUUGCUAAAGAUAUGGAAGGAAAAAAAACACGAUGGAAAUGUAAAUGCCCAUAAACCUGGUAAAAAGUCUCCGCAUUAGACACAAAGAAAUACAUAUAUUAGGGAUCGUAAUAUCGGGCUAUUCCCAGAGGUGCUUGCCGUUUUAAAUAAUUUUAUAUAAUAUCUUUCUGUAAAGAAACCAUAGUCUGCUAACAUAAAGAAACUAUAUUAUAUCUAAUCAUUUAAAACGUCAAACAUACCCAUUUACAAGAACAGUUACUUUGGCAUAAAUAACAUUACCAAUUCAAUAGAUACUAUGAUACCGCAAAUACCGUGCAAAUAAGAAGUGUUAUUAAGAAUUCAUGAAAUAUGCAAUGUAUUCAGACAAAGUGUGUUUUACGUACAGUGUAUGGAUACUACAUGAGCAGAUUUCAUUUAAAUAUAUCAUGUAUCAUAUAGACUAAAGAAAUCUGGAUAACAGAGUUUUGUUAAAGAGAAACCUAGUGCGGAAAUUGCAUUAUGUCAACACACCAUUAAUCAUUAUCUAUGUGUGUUUUCUCAACUUUGAAAAUGAAAUCAAACUAAAAAAAAACCAAUGCAAAUAAAUUUGAUUUAAUCAACUUACCAAAGCUUGCAAAAUUUUCCUUCGCUUCGGGGGAGGAGUCUCUAACCGUGGAGAUUGGGGUGGAGAUGUCGAUGAGGAGGGGGAUGACAAAGCGGGUGGUGUUACUGGUCUUGGCAAUUGUCCCAUCAACUCAUUCAACUUCAGUCGCAUCUCCUGCUCGGUUCCGAAAUGGAGAACAAUGGCCUCGUCGACUUCUUUCGGUCGUCCCCAUUGCACACUGUAUGUCUCCCCAUCAGAAAUAACAGAAUCUGCAUCACACUUGAAAUAAGCACGACUUCGCACUUGCAUAUCAUCGUCACACAAAUAACGCACAAUGAAAUGUGAAUCCAAUCGCAUGGUACGCGGUGCUAGUUUUCUAGACAUGAUGACCAACUUGAAACAUUUGAAAAUACAUUGGAAGGAAAUACUGAUCCUAGAAAAGAAUUGUGGACCCUCAAUUGACCCCAAACUCAAAUGUUGUAGAGAUUUCAACACUUUAAAAUAUUUCGGUAUAUGGCGGCCAUUUUGAAAAUGGCGGCUCAAAAAAAAAAUUUUGAUGGUGGAAAUGGACUCGGGGUGACCAUAUGACCCUAGAAAUCGAAUUUGGUUGAAAUCCGACAACCUUGACUUUUUGACGUUUUUUGGCCGCCAUCUUGAAACGACGGCCAUUUUGAAAAUUUGAAAAGUUGAAUGCACCCCUCCUAGUGACCCCCUAUCAGCUCACAAAAUUUGAAGUGGAUCUGUCGAAGCACUUUCACAAAAUCGGUCGGACAAAUUUCUCACUAAAGAAGAGGAAAAAUAAGAAGAAAAGAAUAAUAAGAAUAACGAGCUAUAACUGUGUUGGGAUGCCAACACAAAUGUCUCCGAACACCUCUCCAUGUUAGAAAUGGUUUUUGAUGCCAGAUAUCCACUCACGAUCCUCAAAAAACCCUAGAAACUAAGUUUGGUUGAAAUCCAACGGACUUGAUUUUUUGCCGCCAUUUUCAUCAAUGGUGGCCAUUUUGAAUCAUUUGAAAAUAGAUUGGAAGGAAAUAGUGAUGCUAUAAAUGAACUGUGGAUCCUCCAAUUACCCCAGAACCCAAAUGUUGUAGAGAAUUUAACAUUUUCAAAUAUUUUGGUAUAUGGCGACCAUUUUGAAAAUGGCGGCUCAAAAAAAAUUUUUAAGGGUGGGAAUGAACUUGGGGUCACCAAAUUACCCUAGAAAUAAAAUUUGGUUGAAAUCCGACAACCUUGAUUUUUUGACGUUUUUCGCCGCCAUUUUGAAACGGCGGCCAUUUUGAAAAUUUGGAAA